rnacentral:rRNA from 1 species
ACGGAAGGCAGCAGUCGGGAAUAUUGCGCAAUGGAGGAAACUCUGACGCAGUGACGCCGCGUAUAGGAUGAAGGUUUUCGGAUUGUAAACUAUUGUCGUUAGGGAAGAUAAAGACAGUACCUAAGGAGGAAGCUCCGGCUAACUACGUGCCAGCAGCCGCGGUAAUACGUAGGGAGCAAGCGUUAUCCGGAUUUAUUGGGUGUAAAGGGUGCGUAGACGGGAAAUUAAGUUAGUUGUGAAAUCCCUCGGCUUAACUGAGGAACUGCAACUAGGACUGGUUUUCUUGAGUGCAGGAGAGGAAAGAGGAAUUCCUAGUGUAGCGGUGAAAUGCGUAGAUAUUAGGAGGAACACCAGUGGCGAAGGCGUCUUUCUGGACUGUAACUGACGUUGAGGCACGAAAAUGUGGGGAGCAAACAGGAUUAGAUACCCUGGUA